GUCUUCUGGAUAGCUCAGUUGGUUAGAGCAUAGUGCUAAUCAUGCCAAGGUCACAGGUUCAAUCCCCAUAUGGGACA